rnacentral:rRNA from 1 species
UGGGGAAUAUUGCACAAUGGGCGCAAGCCUGAUGCAGCCAUGCCGCGUGUGUGAAGAAGGCCUUCGGGUUGUAAAGCACUUUCAGCGAGGAGGAAGGUGGUGAACUUAAUACGUUCAUCAAUUGACGUUACUCGCAGAAGAAGCACCGGCUAACUCCGUGCCAGCAGCCGCGGUAAUACGGAGGGUGCAAGCGUUAAUCGGAAUUACUGGGCGUAAAGCGCACGCAGGCGGUUUGUUAAGUCAGAUGUGAAAUCCCCGGGCUCAACCUGGGAACUGCAUUUGAAACUGGCAAGCUAGAGUCUCGUAGAGGGGGGUAGAAUUCCAGGUGUAGCGGUGAAAAUGCGUAGAGAUCUGGAGGAAUACCGGUGGCGAAAGGCGGCCCCCUGGACGAAGACUGACGCUCAGGUGCGAAAAGCGUGGGGAGCAAAACAGGAUUAGAUACCCUGGUAGUCCACGCUGUAAAACGAUGUCGAUUUGGAGGUUGUGCCCUUGAGGCGUGGCUUCCGGAGCUAACGCGUUAAAUCGACCGCCUGGGGAGUACGGCCGCAAGGUUAAAAACUC